UACGAAGGGGGCUAGCGUUGCUCGGAAUGACUGGGCGUAAAGGGCGCGUAGGCGGUUUGCCCAGUCAGGCGUGAAAUUCCUGGGCUUAACCUGGGGGCUGCGCUUGAUACGUGUGGACUGGAGUGCGGAAGAGGGUCGUGGAAUUCCCAGUGUAGAGGUGAAAUUCGUAGAUAUUGGGAAGAACACCGGUGGCGAAGGCGGCGACCUGGUCCGUGACUGACGCUGAGGCGCGAAAGCGUGGGGAGCGAACAGG
rnacentral:rRNA from 1 species